rnacentral:rRNA from 1 species
GUGGGGAAUCUUGCGCAAUGGGCGAAAGCCUGACGCAGCCAUGCCGCGUGAAUGAUGAAGGUCUUAGGAUUGUAAAAUUCUUUCACCGGGGACGAUAAUGACGGUACCCGGAGAAGAAGCCCCGGCUAACUUCGUGCCAGCAGCCGCGGUAGUACGAAGGGGGCUAGCGUUGCUCGGAAUUACUGGGCGUAAAGGGCGCGUAGGCGGACAGUUUAGUCAAAGGUGAAAGCCCAGGGCGCAACCUUGGAAUUGCCUUUGAUACUGGCUGUCUUGAGUACGGGAGAGGUGAGUGGAACUCCGAGUGUAGAGGUGAAAUUCGUAGAUAUUCGGAAGAACACCAGUGGCGAAGGCGACACACUGGCUCAUUACUGACGCUGAGGCGCGAAAGCGUGGGGAGCAAACAGGAUUAGAUACCCUGGUAGUCC